GGUGAGUUGGCAGACUAGUGCAAUUGACUUAGGAUCAAAAUAUGUAAACCAUUUACACUCACCU
rnacentral:tRNA from 1 species